rnacentral:rRNA from 1 species
GUGGGGAAUCUUGCGCAAUGGGCGAAAGCCUGACGCAGCCAUGCCGCGUGGAUGAUGAAGGUCUUAGGAUUGUAAAAUCCUUUCACCGGUGAAGAUAAUGACUGUAGCCGGAGAAGAAGCCCCGGCUAACUUCGUGCCAGCAGCCGCGGUAAUACGAAGGGGGCUAGCGUUGCUCGGAUUUACUGGGCGUAAAGGGCGCGUAGGCGGACAUUUAAGUCAGGGGUGAAAUCCCGGGGCUCAACCUCGGAACUGCCUUUGAUACUGGGUGUCUUGAGUAUGAGGGAGGUGUGUGGAACUCCGAGUGUAGAGGUGAAAUUCGUAGAUAUUCGGAAGAACACCAGUGGCGAAGGCGACACACUGGCUCAUUACUGACGCUGAGGCGCGAAAGCGUGGGGAGCAAACAGGAUUAGAAACCCGGGUAGUCC